rnacentral:sRNA from 1 species
ACUGUGGUGAAUAGACGGCUGUGGGGCAGAGAAGCGUGAAGGCCUGGCUGCCGGGCAGGUGAACUCUCCACGGGGUCUAGGGCCCGCGAAAGGGUUCGGAACCGAGUCAGCGCGCCUUGCGGGCAGGAUUCACGCCGCUGUGACCCGGAGGUCCUCAAGGGGCGAAGCCCCGGCCUAGGCCUCGCGGAGAUGCCCAGCUGCGGUGCUUGUACUUGCGGCGCGGCGGCCGCCCGGCUCAUCACCUCCUCACUCGCCUCCGCGCAGAGAGGUAUUUCUGGUGGUCGCAUUCAUAUGUCAGUUUUAGGAAGGCUUGGGACAUUUGAAACUCAGAUUCUGCGAAGAGCUCCUCUUAGAUCCUUUACAGAAACACCAGCAUACUUUGCCUCAAAAGAUGGGAUAAGUAAAGAUGGUUCUGGAGAUGGAAAUAAGAAAUCAGCAAAUGAGGGAAGUAGUAAGAAAUCAGGCUCUGGGAAUUCUGGGAAAGGUGGAAACCAGCUGCGCUGUCCUAAAUGUGGCGACUUGUGCACACAUGUAGAGACCUUUGUAUCAUCCACCCGUUUUGUCAAGUGUGAAAAGUGUCAUCAUUUUUUUGUUGUGCUAUCUGAAGCAGACUCAAAGAAAAGCAUAAUUAAAGAACCUGAAUCAGCAGCAGAAGCUGUAAAAUUGGCAUUCCAACAGAAACCACCACCUCCCCCUAAGAAGAUUUAUAACUACCUCGACAAGUAUGUUGUUGGCCAGUCAUUUGCUAAGAAGGUGCUUUCAGUUGCUGUGUACAAUCAUUAUAAGAGAAUAUAUAAUAAUAUCCCAGCUAAUCUGAGACAGCAAGCAGAGGUUGAGAAGCAGACAUCAUUAACACCAAGAGAGUUAGAAAUAAGAAGACGGGAGGAUGAGUACAGAUUUACAAAAUUGCUUCAGAUUGCUGGAAUUAACCCACAUGGUAAUGCUUUAGGAGCAUCAAUGCAGCAACAGGUAAAUCAACAAAUACCUCAGGAAAAACGAGGAGGUGAAGUAUUGGAUUCUUCUCAUGAUGACAUAAAACUUGAAAAAAGUAAUAUUUUGCUGCUUGGACCAACUGGGUCAGGUAAAACUCUGCUGGCACAAACCCUAGCUAAAUGCCUUGAUGUCCCUUUUGCUAUCUGUGACUGUACAACUUUGACUCAGGCUGGAUAUGUAGGCGAAGAUAUUGAAUCUGUGAUUGCAAAACUACUCCAAGAUGCCAAUUAUAAUGUGGAAAAAGCACAACAAGGAAUUGUCUUUCUGGAUGAAGUAGAUAAGAUUGGCAGUGUGCCAGGCAUUCAUCAAUUACGGGAUGUAGGUGGAGAAGGCGUUCAGCAAGUAAGCAGUUGAAUAUUUUGUUCAAGCCCACUAAAAGGAAGGGAAUACAUCAACCUCCCAAAUAUUGUACGUUUGGUUUCACAUUCAAUUAGAUUCUGUUUUAUUUCUUCCGCCCCCAAACUCCACAUAUCAUUUUGAAGUAGUUUAGAUCCUAAAAG